GACGAACGUCUGGCGGCGUGCUUAACACAUGCAAGUCGAACGGUAAGGCUCCAGCUUGCUGGGGUACACGAGUGGCGAACGGGUGAGUAACACGUGGGUGACCUGCCCUGCACUUCGGGAUAAGCCUGGGAAACUGGGUCUAAUACCGGAUAGGACCGCACCGUGAGGGUGUGGUGGAAAGUUUUUUCGGUGUGGGAUGGGCCCGCGGCCUAUCAGCUUGUUGGUGGGGUAAUGGCCUACCAAGGCGGCGACGGGUAGCCGGCCUGAGAGGGUGGACGGCCACAUUGGGACUGAGACACGGCCCAGACUCCUACGGGAGGCAGCAGUGGGGAAUAUUGCACAAUGGGCGGAAGCCUGAUGCAGCGACGCCGCGUGGGGGAUGACGGCCUUCGGGUUGUAAACUCCUUUCACCAUCGACGAAGGGUUUCUGACGGUAGAUGGAGAAGAAGCACCGGCUAACUACGUGCCAGCAGCCGCGGUAAUACGUAGGGUGCGAGCGUUGUCCGGAAUUACUGGGCGUAAAGAGCUCGUAGGUGGUUUGUCGCGUCGUCUGUGAAAUUCCGGGGCUUAACUCCGGGCGUGCAGGCGAUACGGGCAUAACUUGAGUACUGUAGGGGAGACUGGAAUUCCUGGUGUAGCGGUGAAAUGCGCAGAUAUCAGGAGGAACACCGGUGGCGAAGGCGGGUCUCUGGGCAGUAACUGACGCUGAGGAGCGAAAGCAUGGGGAGCGAACAGGAUUAGAUACCCUGGUAGUCCAUGCCGUAAACGGUGGGCGCUAGGUGUGGGUUUCCUUCCACGGGAUCCGUGCCGUAGCUAACGCAUUAAGCGCCCCGCCUGGGGAGUACGGCCGCAAGGCUAAAACUCAAAGGAAUUGACGGGGGCCCGCACAAGCGGCGGAGCAUGUGGAUUAAUUCGAUGCAACGCGAAGAACCUUACCUGGGCUUGACAUAUACAGGAUCGCGCCAGAGAUGGUGUUUCCCUUGUGGCUUGUAUACAGGUGGUGCAUGGUUGUCGUCAGCUCGUGUCGUGAGAUGUUGGGUUAAGUCCCGCAACGAGCGCAACCCUUGUCUUAUGUUGCCAGCACGUUGUGGUGGGGACUCGUAAGAAACUGCCGGGGUUAACUCGGAGGAAGGUGGGGAUGACGUCAAAUCAUCAUGCCCCUUAUGUCCAGGGCUUCACACAUGCUACAAUGGUCGGUACAGUGGGUUGCCAGUCCGUGAGGGCGAGCUAAUCCCGCAAAGCCGGUCUCAGUUCGGAUCGGGGUCUGCAACUCGACCCCGUGAAGUCGGAGUCGCUAGUAAUCGCAGAUCAGCAACGCUGCGGUGAAUACGUUCCCGGGCCU
rnacentral:rRNA from 1 species